CGGAGUGUAGCGCAGUCUGGUAGCGCACUUGGUUCGGGACUAAGUGGUCGGAGGUUCAAAUCCUCUCACUCCGA
rnacentral:tRNA from 1 species